rnacentral:snRNA from 14 species
GUGCUCACUUUGGCAGCCUAUAUACUAAAAUUGGAACAAUACAGAGAAGAUUAGCA